UACAGAGGUCCCAAGCGUUGUUCGGAUUCACUGGGCGUAAAGGGUGCGUAGGCGGUCGGGUAAGUCUGAUGUGAAAUCUCACAGCUUAACUGUGAAACUGCAUUGGAUACUAUCCGGCUUGAGGAAUGGAGGGGAGACUGGAAUACUUGGUGUAGCAGUGAAAUGCGUAGAUAUCAAGUGGAACACCGGUGGCGAAGGCGGCGGCCUGGCCUCGUACUGACGCUGAGGCGCGACAGCGUGGGGAGCAAACAGG
rnacentral:rRNA from 1 species